CCUACGGGUGACUGCAGUGAGGAAUAUUGGUCAAUGGGCGGAAGCCUGAACCAGCCAAGUCGCGUGAGGGAUUAAGGCCCUGCGGGUCGUAAACCUCUUUUGCCGGGGGGCAGUGGUCCGGACGCGUCCGGACCGGGAGAGUACCCGGAGAAAAAGCAUCGGCUAACUCCGUGCCAGCAGCCGCGGUAAUACGGAGGAGGCGAGCGUUAUCCGGAUUUAUUGGGUUAAAGGGGUGCGUAGGCGGGCAUUUAAGCCGGCGGUCAAAUGUCGGGGCUCAACCCCGGCCUGCCGUCGGAACUGGGUGCCUUGAGUGGGUGAGAGGUAUGCGGAAUGCGUGGUGUAGCGGUGAAAUGCAUAGAUAUCACGCAGAACCCCGAUUGCGAAGGCAGCAUAUCGGCGCCCUACUGACGCUGAGGCGCGAAAGUGCGGGUAGCGAACAGGAUUAGAUACCCGUGUAGUC
rnacentral:rRNA from 1 species